CCGGCCUGAGAGGGCGACCGGCCACACUGGGACUGAGACACGGCCCAGACUCCUACGGGAGGCAGCAGUGGGGAAUAUUGCGCAAUGGGCGAAAGCCUGACGCAGCAACGCCGCGUGCGGGAUGAAGGCCUUCGGGUUGUAAACCGCUUUCAGCAGGGAAGAAGCCGCAAGGUGACGGUACCUGCAGAAGAAGCACCGGCUAACUACGUGCCAGCAGCCGCGGUAAUACGUAGGGUGCAAGCGUUGUCCGGAUUUAUUGGGCGUAAAGAGCUCGUAGGCGGUCUGUUACGUCGGUUGUGAAAACUCGGGGCUUAACCCCGAGCCUGCAUCCGAUACGGGCAGACUUGAGUGUGGUAGGGGAGACUGGAAUU
rnacentral:rRNA from 1 species